rnacentral:rRNA from 1 species
UACAGAGGUGGCAAGCGUUGUUCGGAAUUACUGGGCGUAAAGGGCUCGUAGGUGGCCAACUAAGUCAGACGUGAAAUCCCUCAGCUUAACUGGGGAACUGCGUCUGAUACUGGAUGGCUUGAGUUUGGGAGAGGGAUGCGGAAUUCCAGGUGUAGCGGUGAAAUGCGUAGAUAUCUGGAGGAACACCGGUGGCGAAGGCGGCAUCCUGGACCAACACUGACACUGAGGAGCGAAAGCGUGGGGAGCGAACAGG